rnacentral:rRNA from 1 species
AUUGAACGCUGGCGGCAGGCCUAACACAUGCAAGUCGAGCGGAUGAAGGGAGCUUGCUCCUGGAUUCAGCGGCGGACGGGUGAGUAAUGCCUAGGAAUCUGCCUGGUAGUGGGGGAUAACGUCCGGAAACGGGCGCUAAUACCGCAUACGUCCUGAGGGAGAAAGUGGGGGAUCUUCGGACCUCACGCUAUCAGAUGAGCCUAGGUCGGAUUAGCUAGUUGGUGGGGUAAAGGCCUACCAAGGCGACGAUCCGUAACUGGUCUGAGAGGAUGAUCAGUCACACUGGAACUGAGACACGGUCCAGACUCCUACGGGAGGCAGCAGUGGGGAAUAUUGGACAGUGGGCGAAAGCCUGAUCCAGCCGUGCCGAGUGUGUGAAGAAGGUCUUCGGAUUGUAAAGCACUUUAAGUUGGGAGGAAGGGCAGUAAGUUGAUACCUUGCUGUUUUGACGUUACCAACAGAAUAAGCACCGGCUAACUUCGUG